GAUGAACGCUGGCGGCGUGCUUAACACAUGCAAGUCGAACGGAAAGGCCCAAGCUUGCUUGGGUACUCGAGUGGCGAACGGGUGAGUAACACGUGGGUGAUCUGCCCUGCACUUCGGGAUAAGCCUGGGAAACUGGGUCUCAUACCGGAUAGGACCACUUCUUGGACGUUGUGGUGGAAAGUUUUGUCGGUGUGGGAUGAGCUCGCGGCCUAUCAGCUUGUUGGUGGGGUAAUGGCCUACCAAGGCGUCGGCGUGUAGCCGGCCUGUGGGGGUGUACGGCGGUCUUGAGUCCGACGGGCGGCCCCAGUAGCUAAGGGAGGCAGCAGGGGGGAAUAUUGCACGAGGGGCGCAAGCCUGAUGCAGCGACGCCGCGUGGGGGAUGACGGCCUUCGGGGUGUAAACUCCUUUCGCAAGGGACGAAGCGUUUUGUGACGGUACCUGGAGAAGAAGCACCGGCUAACUACGUG
rnacentral:rRNA from 1 species